rnacentral:rRNA from 1 species
AUUGAACGCUGGCGGCAGGCCUAACACAUGCAAGUCGAACGAGUGGCGGACGGGUGAGUAAUGUCUGGGAAACUGCCCGAUGGAGGGGGAUAACUACUGGAAACGGUAGCUAAUACCGCAUACCAUCGGAUGUGCCCAGAUGGGAUUAGAGAGUAGGUGGGGUAAAGGCUCACCUAGGCGACGAUCCCUAGCUGGUCUUAGAGGAUGACCAGCCACACUGGAACUGGGACACGGUCCAGACUCCUACGGGAGGCAGCAGUGGGGAAUAUUGCACAAUGGGCGCAACCCUGAUGCAGCCAUGCUGCGUGUAUGAAGAAGGCCUUCGGGUUGUAAAGUACUUUCAGCGGGGAGGCGUUACUCGCAGAAGAAGCACCGGCUAACUCCGUGCCAGCAGCCGCGGUAAUUC